rnacentral:rRNA from 1 species
CCUACGGGUGGCAGCAGUGAGGAAUAUUGGUCAAUGGACGAGAGUCUGAACCAGCCAAGUAGCGUGAAGGAUGACUGCCCUAUGGGUUGUAAACUUCUUUUAUAAAGGAAUAAAACGAGGCACGUGUGCCUUUUUGCAUGUACUUUAUGAAUAAGGAUCGGCUAACUCCGUGCCAGCAGCCGCGGUAAUACGGAGGAUCCGAGCGUUAUCCGGAUUUAUUGGGUUUAGAGGGAGCGUAGAUGGGUUGUUAAGUCAGUUGUGAAAGUUUGCGGCUCAACCCGGGCCGGCCGUUGAAACUGGGGAUCUUGAGUGGGCGAGAAGUAUGCGGAAUGCGUGGUGUAGCGGUGAAAUGCAUAGAUAUCACGCAGAACUCCGAUUGCGAAGGCAGCAUACCGGCGCCCGACUGACGCUGAGGCACGAAAGCGUGGGGAUCGAACAGGAUUAGAUACCCGAGUAGUC